rnacentral:rRNA from 1 species
GACGAACGCUGGCGGCGUGCCUAAUACAUGCCAGUAGAACGCUGAAGCUUGGUGCUUGCACCGAGCGGAUGAGUUGCGAACGGGUGAGUAACGCGUAGGUAACCUGCCUGGUAGCGGGGGAUAACUAUUGGAAACGAUAGCUAAUACCGCAUAACAGUAGAUAUCGCAUGAUAGCUACUUGAAAGGUGCAAAUGCACCACUACCAGAUGGACCUGCGUUGUAUUAGCUAGUUGGUGAGGUAACGGCUCACCAAGGCAACGAUACAUAGCCGACCUGAGAGGGGGGACGGCCCAAAUGGGACUGAGACACGGCCCAGACUCCUAAGGGAGGGAGCAGGAGGGAAUCUUCGGCAAUGGACGGAAAGCUGACCGAGCAACGCCGCGUGAGUGAAGAAGGGUUUCGGAUCGGAAAGCUCUGUUGUAAGAGAAGAACGAGGGUGAGAGUGGAAAGUUCACACUGUGACGGUAUCUUAACAGAAAGGGACGGCUAACUACGUG